AGAGUUUGAUCCUGGCUCAGGAUGAACGCUGGCGGCGUGCCUAACACAUGCAAGUCGAGCGAUUCUCUUCGGAGAAGAGCGGCGGACGGGUGAGUAACGCGUGGGUAACCUGCCCUGUACACACGGAUAACAUACCGAAAGGUAUGCUAAUACGAGAUAAUAUGCUUUUAUCGCAUGGUAGAAGUAUCAAAGCUCCGGCGGUACAGGAUGGACCCGCGUCUGAUUAGCUAGUUGGUAAGGUAACGGCUUACCAAGGCGACGAUCAGUAGCCGACCUGAGAGGGUGAUCGGCCACAUUGGAACUGAGACACGGUCCAAACUCCUACGGGAGGCAGCAGUGGGGAAUAUUGCACAAUGGGCGAAAGCCUGAUGCAGCAACGCCGCGUGAGCGAUGAAGGCCUUCGGGUCGUAAAGCUCUGUCCUCAAGGAAGAUAAUGACGGUACUUGAGGAGGAAGCCCCGGCUAACUACGUG
rnacentral:rRNA from 1 species